UACGAAGGGUGCAAGCGUUAAUCGGAAUUACUGGGCGUAAAGCGUGCGCAGGCGGCUUUGCAAGACAGGCGUGAAAUCCCCGGGCUCAACCUGGGAAUUGCGCUUGUGACUGCAAAGCUGGAGUGCGGCAGAGGGGGAUGGAAUUCCGCGUGUAGCAGUGAAAUGCGUAGAUAUGCGGAGGAACACCGAUGGCGAAGGCAAUCCCCUGGGCCUGCACUGACGCUCAUGCACGAAAGCGUGGGGAGCAAACAGG
rnacentral:rRNA from 1 species